rnacentral:rRNA from 1 species
CUUCUUUAUCACCGAGUGCUUGCACUCACCGAUAAAGAGUUGAGUGGCGAACGGGUGAGUAACACGUGGGCAACCUGCCCAAAAGAGGGGGAUAACACUUGGAAACAGGUGCUAAUACCGCAUAACCAUAGUUACCGCAUGGUAACUAUGUAAAAGGUGGCUAUACUACCGCUUUUGGAUGGGCCCGCGGCGCAUUAGCUAGUUGGUAGGGUAAAGGCUUACCAAGGCAAUGAUGCGUAGCCGAAUUGAGAGGUUGAUCGGCCACAUUGGGACCGAGACACGGCCCAAACUCCUACGGGAGGCAGCAGUAGGGAAUCUUCCACAAUGGGCGAAAGCCUGAUGGAGCAACGCCGCGUGGGUGAAGAAGGUCUUCGGAUCGUAAAACCCUGUUGUUAGAGAAGAAAGUGCGUGAGAGUAACUGUUCACGUUUCGACGGUAUCUAACCAGAAAGCCACGGCUAACUACGUGCCAGCAGCCGCGGUAAUACGUAGGUGGCAAGCGUUAUCCGGAUUUAUUGGGCGUAAAGGGAACGCAGGCGGUCUUUUAAGUCUGAUGUGAAAGCCUUCGGCUUAACCGGAGUAGUGCAUUGGAAACUGGGAGACUUGAGUGCAGAAGAGGAGAGUGGAACUCCAUGUGUAGCGGUGAAAUGCGUAGAUAUAUGGAAGAACACCAGUGGCGAAAGCGGCUCUCUGGUCUGUAACUGACGCUGAGGUUCGAAAGCGUGGGUAGCAAACAGGAUUAGAUACCCUGGUAGUCCACGCCGUAAACG